UACAGAGGUCCCAAGCGUUGUUCGGAUUCACUGGGCGUAAAGGGUGCGCAGGUGGGCUGGUAAGUUUGAUGUGAAAGCCCCGGGCUUAACCCGGGAAUGGCAUUGAAUACUACUGGUCUGGAGGGUUGGAGGGGGGACUGGAAUUCUUGGUGUAGCAGUGAAAUGCGCAGAUAUCAGGAAGAACACCUAUGGCGAAGGCAGCUCUCUGGGACGGUACUGACGCUGAGACGCGAAAGCGUGGGGAGCGAACAGG
rnacentral:rRNA from 1 species